GACGUAGGUACUGCGGAGACAUUACCGAGUGAGGGCCCUCUGGGUCCAACCUCCCACCCGUGUCUAUCGUACCUUGUUGCUUCGGCGGGCCCGCCGUUUCGACGGCCGCCGGGGAGGCCUUGCGCCCCCGGGCCCGCGCCCGCCGAAGACCCCAACAUGAACGCUGUUCUGAAAGUAUGCAGUCUGAGUUGAUUAUCGUAAUCAGUUAAAACUUUCAACAACGGAUCUCUUGGUUCCGGCAUCGAUGAAGAACGCAGCGAAAUGCGAUAAGUAAUGUGAAUUGCAGAAUUCAGUGAAUCAUCGAGUCUUUGAACGCACAUUGCGCCCCCUGGUAUUCCGGGGGGCAUGCCUGUCCGAGCGUCAUUGCUGCCCUCAAGCACGGCUUGUGUGUUGGGCCCCCGUCCCCCUCUCCCGGGGGACGGGCCCGAAAGGCAGCGGCGGCACCGCGUCCGGUCCUCGAGCGUAUGGGGCUUUGUCACCUGCUCUGUAGGCCCGGCCGGCGCCAGCCGACACCCAACUUUAUUUUUCUAAGGUUGACCUCGGAUCAGGUAGGGAUACCCGCUGAACUUAAGCAUAUCAAUAAGCGGAGGAAUGGAAGGUGAAGUCGUAACAAGGUUUCUCCCGUCCAC
rnacentral:rRNA from 1 species